rnacentral:rRNA from 1 species
GACGAACGCUGGCGGCGUGCUUAACACAUGCAAGUCGAACGAAGUGGCGAACGGGUGAGUAACGCGUAAUCAACCUGCCCUUCAGAGGGGUACAACAGUUGGAAACGACUGCUCAUCCCGCCUACUGCAGGAGGGGAUUGCGUGUGAUUAGCUAGUUGGAGGGGUAACGGCCCACCAAGGCGAUGAUCAGUAGCCGGUCUGGGAGGGUGAACGGCCACAUUGGGACUGGGACACGGCCCAGACUCCUACGGGAGGCAGCAGUGGGGAAUCGUCCGCAAUGGACGAAAGUCUGACGGAGCAACGCCGCGGGAGUGAGGACGGCCUUCGGGUUGUAAAGCUCUGUUAAUCGGGACGCGGUACCGGAAGAGAAAGCCACGGCUAACUACGUGCCAGCAGCCGCGGUAAUAC